UUGACAGUAUCUCUGUUCCUGGCUGCCUACUUGAGGUUUGAGCUACUGGCUACUUAUUUCUCUUGGUAGCCAGCAGCCAAACCUUUAGUAGUAAGUCAGAAUGGCAACAAAGAGGACAC
rnacentral:precursor_RNA from 12 species